rnacentral:rRNA from 1 species
UACGGGGGGGGCAAGCGUUGUUCGGAAUUACUGGGCGUAAAGGGCUCGUAGGCGGCCAACUAAGUCAGGGGUGAAAUCCCGGGGCUCAACCCCGGAACUGCCUUUGAUACUGGGUAUCUCGAGUCCGGAAGAGGUGAGUGGAAUUCCGAGUGUAGAGGUGAAAUUCGUAGAUAUUCGGAGGAACACCAGUGGCGAAGGCGGCUCACUGGUCCGGUACUGACGCUGAGGUGCGAAAGCGUGGGGAGCAAACAGG